AGAAUCAACGCUGGCGGCGUGCCUAACACAUGCAAGUCGAACGAGAAAGUGGAGCAAUCCAUGAGUAAAGUGGCGCACGGGUGAGUAACACGUGACUAACCUACCCUUGAGUGGGGGAUAACCUAGGGAAACCUGGGCUAAUACCGCAUAAUACCUUCGGGUCAAAGGAGCAAUUCGCUUAAGGAGGGGGUCGCGGCCGAUUAGUUAGUUGGCGGGGUAAUGGCCCACCAAGACUGUGAUCGGUAUCCGGCCUGAGAGGGCGCACGGACACACUGGAACUGAAACACGGUCCAGACUCCUACGGGAGGCAGCAGUGGGGAAUUUUGCGCAAUGGGGGAAACCCUGACGCAGCAACGCCGCGUGGAGGAUGAAGUCCCUUGGGACGUAAACUCCUUUCGAUCGGGACGAUUAUGACGGUACCGGAAGAAGAAGCCUCGGCUAACUUCGUGCCAGCAGCCGC
rnacentral:rRNA from 1 species